AACGAACGCUGGCGGCAUGCCUAACACAUGCCAGUCGAACGAGACCUUCGGGUCUAGUGGCGCACGGGUGCGUAACGCGUGGGAACCUGCCCUUAGGUUCGGAAUAACUCCCCGAAAGGGGUGCUAAUACCGGAUAAUGUCUUCGGACCAAAGAUUUAUCGCCUUUGGAUGGGCCCGCGUUGGAUUAGCUAGUUGGUGGGGUAAAAGCCUACCAAGGCGACGAUCCAUAGCCGGUCUGAGAGGAUGAUCAGCCACACUGGGACUGAGACACGGCCCAGACUCCUACGGGAGGCAGCAGUGGGGAAUAUUGGACAAUGGGCGAAAGCCUGAUCCAGCAAUGCCGCGUGAGUGAUGAAGGCCUUAGGGUUGUAAAGCUCUUUUACCCGGGAUGAUAAUGACAGUACCGGGAGAAUAAGCUCCGGCUAACUCCGUG
rnacentral:rRNA from 1 species